AACGAACGCUGGCGGCAGGCUUAACACAUGCAAGUCGAACGGAUCCUUCGGGAUUAGUGGCAGACGGGUGAGUAACGCGUGGGAACGUACCCUUUGCUACGGAAUAACUCGGGGAAACUUGAGCUAAUACCGUAUGUGCCCUACGGGGGAAAGAUUUAUCGGCAAAGGAUCGGCCCGCGUUGGAUUAGCUAGUUGGUGGGGUAAUGGCCUACCAAGGCGACGAUCCAUAGCUGGUCUGAGAGGAUGAUCAGCCACACUGGGACUGAGACACGGCCCAGACUCCUACGGGAGGCAGCAGUGGGGAAUAUUGGACAAUGGGCGCAAGCCUGAUCCAGCCAUGCCGCGUGAGUGAUGAAGGUCUUAGGAUUGUAAAGCUCUUUCACCGGUGAAGAUAAUGACGGUAGCCGGAGAAGAAGCCCCGGCUAACUUCGUG
rnacentral:rRNA from 1 species